AGCCAGGUUGGUUUCUAUCCCCAAUUUUUAUAUAAUUUUUAGUACGAAAGGACCAUUUUUAUAAAAGAUUUUUUAUAGUUGAUUAAUAUUA
rnacentral:rRNA from 1 species